AACGAGCGCUGGCGGCAGGCCUAACACAUGCAAGUCGAGCGAAGCCUUCGGGCUUAGCGGCGGACGGGUGAGUAACGCGUGGGAACGUGCCCUUUGGUACGGAAUAGCCCCGGGAAACUGGGAGUAAUACCGUAUGUGGUCGAGAGACGAAAGAUUUAUCGCCAAAGGAUCGGCCCGCGUUGGAUUAGGUAGUUGGUGGGGUAAUGGCCUACCAAGCCGACGAUCCAUAGCUGGUUUGAGAGGAUGAUCAGCCACACUGGGACUGAGACACGGCCCAGACUCCUACGGGAGGCAGCAGUGGGGAAUCUUAGACAAUGGGGGAAACCCUGAUCUAGCCAUGCCGCGUGAUCGAUGAAGGCCUUAGGGUUGUAAAGAUCUUUCAGUGGGGAAGAUAAUGACUGUACCCACAGAAGAAGCCCCGGCUAACUCCGUGCCAGCAGCCGCGGUAACAC
rnacentral:rRNA from 1 species